GCGGACGUGGCUCAGUUGGUAGAGCAUCACCUUGCCAAGGUGAGGGUCGCGGGUUCGAGUCCCGUCGUCCGCUCCA
rnacentral:tRNA from 14 species